rnacentral:rRNA from 1 species
UACGGAGGGUGCAAGCGUUGCUCGGAAUUACUGGGCGUAAAGGGCGUGUAGGCGGUUUCGUAUGUCUGGCGUGAAAGCCCCGGGCUCACCUCGGGAAGUGCGUCGGAAACUGCGAGACUAGAGUCCCGGAGAGGGAGGUGGAAUUCCAGGUGUAGCGGUGAAAUGCGUAGAUAUCAGGAGGAACACCGGUGGCGAAGGCGGCAUCCUGGACCGGUAUUGACGCUGAUGCGCGAAAGCCAGGGGAGCAAACGGG